GGUUUUUCAGGAAAUUCACCUCAGUGUCUGCCGUGCGUGGCUUUAGACUGAGUUACUGAGCUCCAGGAGGGCGGCAAGAUGCUGGGGCCUGCGUUACGGGCAGCACCAUGAUCAGGGGUUCCUGGCCUCUGUCACCGAGCCUGUGGGAGCUGCUCAGGGAACAAAGUUUGUCAUCCUGAGACACCAGACCUUUGACGAGACUCAGGUAACCUCUGACAGCGCGUACGGUGCUAACAAAGAGUCCCUGUCAGCCUUUGUGGAAGACUUUGAGACUUCAGUCAGCGUUGACUUUCUAGAAGAUGAGGAGCGUGUUGGCGAAGUGCUAGACUGUGGUUCUUCGGAUCUAUCGGAUCAUGGAGGAACAGAAGAAGCUCAGCAUGAAGAUGAAAAGAUGACAGAAGCAGCAGCAUCCCAGAAGUUGUGAUCACACAGGCAGAUGAGGUGCUCUACGAACUGAGACUGGCUCCCUGUAACCUCUUCCUCGCUCUCAGCUGGUGAAGCGUGUGCGCAGUUUAUCGGAGAUGUGGUGCUUCCACGGCAUUUAUUUUUCAGACUUCCUGGGGGCAGUAUCAUACUGCACAAAGUAUAUUUCACCCGCUAUCAAGUGAGACUGAUUUCCAGUUAAAUAUUAAUACAAGUUAAAACUAGGUACUCAGGAUGAUGCUUUGAUGUACAUCUGCUUGCUGAAAUUCGGAUGUCGUGAAUGGAGGUUCCCCCCUUUACUGAACGGAAAGUGUUCCUUGUAGGCAGUGUCAGGCUGAGCAAGUAGCUUUUUGGUGAUGUUUAUCUGUUAUCCCCAUUUGAAUGGUUCCCAUAGGCACUCCACCUUGGCACAGACAGACGGCAGGUCCUUAACACCUAUCAGGACUGGCUUUGCAGGAAAGUUACUCCUUAUUAACCAUUAUAAUAGCCAAAUUGUGAUGUUCGGGGAGAGUAGAGGGCUGGGGAUCUUAUCAAGCUAAGCCAAGGGGAAGUGUCCCCCUGGAAACUUGCAGCUGCCCUAAGACGGCAGCAGGGCAAUGCGUUGGUCAGUGGGAAACUGAGAAAUUCCUGAAACUUGGAGGCUGUUCAUUGUGUUUGGUGGUCUGACUGCAGCCAGCAGAGCCCACCGAGGAGAGGGCUGGCUGUACCCCUCAGCAGGAAUGAGGACAAGUUGCAGACAAGGCUUGUGUAACUGGUUGGACGUGCCUAAAUCGGGGUGUAUCGGGUAUAACUGUUUUUUAACUUAUUUAUUUUUCCUGAUAGACUGACUUCAGAAACCUGAAAAUCCAAUUCAGAACUGAAAAGCUCGUGCCCAUUUUUUUGCAGGUCCAGAGAAAAAUGAUGAUGUUAUUGAACACCAUCCAUUUUUCUUCAGGGUGAAUGUUUCUGCCACCUGGCACCACUGCCUUCCCACAGGCUAGAAACCUUGCUACAUUCCUCAGUGCCCGCUAAGGCUAAU
rnacentral:lncRNA from 1 species